AGAUUUUCCCUGCACAAGCGGCGGAACAAGUUUGGGAACCACUGAUGUAGAGUAAUAGAUUUUAAUGAUUUAGGAAAUAAACAUGUUUUGAAUCAGCCGAGAUUAAAUUUUUAAUGGUUGAAAUUAUUUAUCGCACACGUACAUUACACUUAGUUGUGUAGCUCAACAAGGACUUUGAACUAAAACAUGACUUGAAUAUAAUAAAAAUGUUAGUUGCAUUAAGGAAUAUGAUUUCAAAGUGUUGCAUAUGGUUUUAGACAUGCAAUGUCCAUGGAUGUUAGUGAGUCAUGCAGUGAAAAACUAAUCUAAAACUUUGAAAGUGCAAGAAGGACUUAUAUAAAUUUGUACAAUCAACUAAUGAUCGCUUUAAAAAUAAAACAUGCCAAAAAUUAUUUUUAAAAAUUAAAGUUGGGGGAAAUUUGCAAUAAAAAAAUUCAACUUUAUGAGUGAAACUUCCAAUAUCUUAAGCACAAUAGAGAAAGACCAUAAUGUUAACGUUAUCUGUGUGUUUCUGUGUUGGAAUUUCAGUUAUGGCACAUGAAUUUCCCUCUCUUUCAACCUUAAGAUCUCUUAAUGUAUUUUUGUUGCACAAAUAAUGUUCCAUUUUUAUAUUAAGCUUUUGUUUUUACAGCCAGCAUCUGUGGGGAAUGCUUUACUGUGAAUUUUUAAGAAACAAAACCAAAUAUUCCUAUACUUCAUCAUUUUAACAUGAGUUGAUGAUCCCGUGAAAUGGAAAUUUCCCUCUAAAAUUUGUAAUUCUGGUUUCCUGAAGCUUUCUGAAUGUUGUUUAGAAUGAUUUAUCAAUGACUACUUCAGGAUGUUUUGUUCUUCUUUAUGGAAUAGGCCAAACUCUACUCACGCUGCUCCUAUAGAAAUCAAUGGAAGUUGUUCCCAUGCAUUAGCGUGCAGAAUUUGCCUCUACAUCUCUACCUAUUUUUGCAGUAUUACAGCUGUACUGUCUUUAAUUGUUUUCUUUCCUCACAUUUUUGCAAUAAUUUGCUAUCACUAUGAUAAAUAUCUGCUAUAUGACUCUGAUCCAUAUAGCACUUGUGUAUACUUAAGUACAUGAGAAGUCCCAUUGGCUUUACUGCCUACAUUUGUAAUUACUGGGAGGAGGGAUAGCUCAGUGGUUUGAGCAUUGGCCUGCUAAACCCAGGGUUGUGAAUUCAAUCCUUGAGGGGGCCAUUUAGGGAUCUGGGGCAAAAAUUGGGGAUUGGUCCUGCUUUGAGCAGGGGGUUGGACUAGAUGACCUCCUGAGGUCUCUUCCAACCCUGAUAUUCUAACCCUACACCCAUGCAAUGUGUACUUAGACCCAAAUUCUGCUCCCACUUACACCUGCAUAAAUCCAAACUAACUCAGUGCCAAUUGUUUUUAAUUUCAUUACAAACUCAAGAACUGCAGUUAGGUUUUUCAAGAUUCAUUAUAGCCUCCAAGCCUUUCAGACAAACCUAGGCCCAUUUAUGGUUUUGUCUGAAUCACAAGAAAUCUGCAGUUUUACAUGGUUUCACCUGUGUUCUGCUUUAGAUGUUUCACCUGUGUUCUGCUUUAGAUGUAGGGUUUGUUCAAACUCAAAACCCAGACAGAAACUCCAGGGAGAGGACUUUCUCAAAAUGACACAGCACAAAGUGAGACAAGGUGGGUUAGUUAAUAUCUUUUGUCUUUAGAAAGCUGGUCUCUCUCUCCAACCGAAUUUGGUCCAAUAAAAGAUAUUACCUCACACACCUUGUCUCUCUAAUGCCCUGGGACCGACACAGCUACAACAACACUGCAUACAAAAUUAAGUGUUAGUACGAACCUCUGCCAAGCUAAACAAUCAGUAUUGCAUGUCUCUAGCUCUCUUUACUAUUCAGUGAAAGCCCACCAAAAAAAUGGGGGCUAGACAAAUCGGGGGUGUUUGGGAGGCUGGGGAAAAUUCAACCAAUUUUCUUGACAUAUUUUAAAAAAUAUGUCAUUUUAAAAAAAUUGGCGUGGGGGACUCAAAAUUUUCAAAAAAUUUCAUUUUGAAAUAGUGGGGUGGUUCCCAGUUUCUUGCCAUUUUAUUUAUCCUCCUCAUCCACCCCAUUUUAUAAAUUGCCCCCUGCUGGAAGCAGAAGGAGGAAAAAGCCACUUCCUCUCACUUUUUUUUUUACCUGUUCCCCUUGUAAAGUUAAAAAAUUACAUUUUUAAAGCUUUCUUGCAUUUUUCCAAUAGAAAAAAAAAGUUUAAAAAUGAGAGAAAGCAAUCUGUUGCCUUUUUUUUAAAAAAAGCAUUCUACCUUAUUUUCACUUGAGAAGAGGGGGGAAAGUAAAAUAGAAAAAAAUCCAAAGACAUUUUUUCUAAAUGAAAUUUUUAAUUUUGUUUAAAAUAAAUCAUUUAAAAUUGAUUAAGUGAAAACGGAGAAAAAGUAAAAAAUCUCAAAUGUAUUGAAAACUUCAUUUUCUCUCAAAAUUUUUCACAAAAAGAACAACAUUUCAAGAAGCUAAUCUGAGUUCCUUUUUGCAAAAUGCCUGUGUUGUGAAGAGUCAGAUGGAUCAUGCUGUACUAUAGGAGCACAGUUAUUUUAUUAAAUGAAUAAAAGAGAUACUAUCAAUAUUAUUGAAAGAAAGGUCAUUACUAACUUUAAGGGAAUAAGGCUUCAGGUAAAUAUGAACAAAUGACAAAUAGAACUUCUAUUUACUGUGUUUGUGUGUGAUUCACUCUAGCACAGAAAACUUUGCAAACCUCUCCACACCAUUUAAAGUGAAGAAGGGAUAUACAGAUGCCUCCACACUUUGUGGAGGGUUUUCAGGAUUGCACACAGGUGGAUCCAGUGGCCUAAGUUUCCUCUGUCGGGGGUGCAAUUUGCCCUCAUGCAGACAGCCAGCACAAGGCCUAUGCACUUAGGCCCAUAUCCUCAAUGGUAUUUAGCUGCUUAGCUCCCAUUUAAAUCAUAGGAGUUAGGUGCCUAAAUACCUUAGGAGUUAGGCACCUAAAUACUGUUGAGGAUUUGGGCCUUAUGCCCCAAUCCUUAAUACUUAAUACCUGCAAACACACUUAUGUACAUAAGUAUCUUUUCACACAUGUAAUUCCAUUGUCUUCAAAAGAACUAUUCACUUCCUCAGAGUUACUCAUGCACAUGGAUGUUUGCAGAAAUGGGCCCUUAAAUCCUAGUUUGGAGGCUUAUGUGGGGUAUAGAUCUUGUGCUGUCCCCCUACACAGUAGUGAAUUUCUCCCAUGUGUGCAGAGGGUCAGCAGCCACUAUACCAAGCUGUAAAGAGGGGUAGGUGGAUUUUGUCUCUACUAGCCCACUUACUGCACAAAACCCAAUUACUGUGUUAGGAGGGAUGGAUUCUGCCCUAAGAGAAGAAUAUUUCUAACUUAUAUUGGAAUGUAUGACAUCCUGAAGACUCAGAAUACGGUAAAUGCCAUGGAACAAAUUCUGCUCCCAGUUCUACUCCAAUAGCCCUAUUGAAAUCACUGAAUUUGCAUGGGUACAACUGAGCUAAAAUUAUUACUGAUUGUGACUAUUACUAUUUCAAUAUUGAAUAUGUUUGUAUUAAUGUUAUCAUAAUAUAUGAAAAUGCCAACUAAAAUUCAUCUUCCCUAGAACUUUCCAGAUCUUGUUUGAUGUUUUAGGAAUAUUGCUGUACUACUAAUACAGUAUUAAUAUUGUUGCAUUAUUAAAAUACAGUAGCAACUGUGCAUUGCCACCUUAGUCCAUCUGUUCUGUGGUAUGUGAUGCACUAUAUUUGUCCGUAUUCCUAUGCAAAAAGAAAUACGUAAUUCUAACAGAAAAAAAACAUACAAUAUAGUAUGCUGCUUAACAUACGUAAAAAGUAAUUAGAUCAUUUCAUGAUUAAGUCAUUUCAAGAAUGUUUAAACUCAUGGUAAAUCUAGACCACAUGACGUUUCUUAAAGAAAAUAUUGUCAUGGAUUGGUGGUCUUUUUGUCAAACCGUGUGUAUGGGAAAUAACAAAUAUGUGCUUUUUAUUUUAUGUUACUUGAAAGUUGAAAUAUUGAAGUAUGAAGAAAUAGCUUAUAUUUUUGGAUCAACUAAAUUAAGAAAUUUUAUGAAAUAUUUGUGCUACAUAUGUAAUAGUGUACCCAGCUAGCCUAUGUAUUCAUUUCUAUCUGGAGUAACAAGCUGACUUGCUAUUAAAUCUUUUGUAAUUUAUAUUAUUGUAAAGAUUGAUUCUAUUUAGCAAGAAUUCUGAAAGUAAAUUGACAAGGUCUUGCAUAGCACAUAUUAUGGAUCAGAUCCUGCCAACUUCUAUUCAUGUAAGAAAUCUUCAUGUGGUUAAUCUCAUUGAUUUCUUCGGAACUGUUUGCAUUAGGACUUCUCCUGUAAGUCCAGAUUUUCAGGAUCAAGUUCUAAAGUCAAAAUUCUCAAUGUUGGUUGCCUAAAGUUAGAUGUCUCCAUUAUUUAGGUGCCUAAAUAUAGAUUUAGGUGCAUAACUUCAACAACCAACUUUGAGAAUGAUAUAUUUGUAUGCAACAUUGCAUUCACCAUUAAUUGAUUUUCGGGAUAUCCUAUAUUUUAUGUCCUAUAUAGUGUGAAAAUAACUAAAUUCUCUUCCUUACCACCAAAGGUGGCCAAACUUACUGACCUGUUGAGCCACAUAUGACAGAAGUUCGAGAGCCAGGGUCCACCUGUUGGGGCUCAGGGCUUCAAUCCUGCGGGAGGCGCCUGCCAGGGCUCAGGGCUUCAGCCCUGCUCCUUCUGAAGUCCUAAUCCCCGGCAGGUGCACUCCUUGGGGCUGAAGCCCUGAGACCUCCCUCUCUGCUGGACAGAAGCCAAAGGGUCACAUAGUCGGCGCCUAGGGGUGCCACUGGCCUCCUUCCCUGCACAGCCGCUGCUAGAGCCGGCAAACUGGGAGCUGCGGCCAUGGGGGAAGAGCAGCGGCCAACAGCUGGGAGCUCUAGGGAGAGUCACUGCUUUUGCUGCUGCCUUUUGCUCCCCGCAGAGCUAAAGCAACAGCUCCUCCCUACAGCUCCCAGCUGUUUGCUGCUGCCUAUCCACUGGGAGCUAACACCUGGGAUCUGCAGGGAGGGGCCACUGAGGGUAAGGAGAGGGUGCGGGGGGGGGUAAACAUUUAAAUUGUGCCCCCCCCUCAGCUGGCACCAAUUGUCACUGGCAGAAGCCCCUAGUCCUACCACCCCACUACAGGACCGAAGCCCCGAACUCCCCCCACCCCACAGUCAGGCAGAGAAUGGGAGGGAGUGGGAGGCUCCAUGAGCCGCACAUUAACUGUAAAAGAGCCACAUGUGGCUCACAAGCCACAGUUUGGACAUCCCUGCCAUAUUUCAUAAUAACAAAAUACCACUUAACAUAUAAAGCAAUACUGCACACAUUAUAUCCGUAAAUGCACAUUUCUAUGCAGUAAAUAAUUGGAAUGACAUUUUGGAACACGUUCUUUGUUUUCUGCAGAUGAUGAUGGUAUUUUUUUAUCCACAAUGUUUAUUAUGUAGUGCCAUAAACAUAUUUCAUAUUUGUGCUGCAUUUCACAGUGUAAUUCUAUUAAAUAUUGCUAUUUAUAUACAAAGUUCAUAAAAAUCACCUUGUUGAAAUUUGAAUUUUUAAUAGGUAAAUUAUUUUGAGAUUCUGUUGUGUUUUAAGUUCUUUACUUAGUUUGUGACAAUGUUACAUUUGCAGUGUACUGGUGCCAUGUCUGAAUUUUGUUCCAACAUUGUGUAGCAUGUGAUGUGCCAACAUGAGAACAUGCAGCAUUAGUUUCAUUUGUUGGUAAAUCACUUAUAAAAUAUCUUGUACAUGUUCAAUGUGUAAUUAGCUACAAAUGCAGCCCUAAUAGCAUUAAUGGACAAUUAAAGGCAUAAAGAACAAUUAAGGCAGCUGUUGUUUAUUCCCGAGUAGCUGUGAAUUUCACAAUGUAUGACUUGAGUUAGGAACCUGUGUUUUUCUAAGUCUGAUAAAAGCAAAAAUCAGUAAUGUCAUGCAAAUAAAUAUUAGAUAGAUUGACUUCUUCAAUCUGAUAUUUUCAAGAGUUCUGGUGAAUAAACUCAGUGGUAGUGGAGGCAUAUGAGUAGUUCUUUUCAAACAGUACCUCUCUGAGUACAAAAGUUUUGCCUUUAUUGGGUGUUCAUCCUAGUUCUUAUAAAUAUUUCCUGUAAAUGUAAUAAGUAACUUUCCAGUUCUUAUAUUUUAUCAUUACAUGAUACUGCUUCAGUUAACUAGUUUGCUUUUCCUUUAAAAUGGGUGACACAUUGAACGAACUUAAACAAUGAUCUCCGUAAUCUUUGUAUACUGUUUCUCAUGCCUUGCUGACAGUGUUUCAUAGUGAAUGUAUUAUGAGUCUCCUCUGUGCAAUACUUACUUACUCUCUGUAGUUGUGUAAUCCAACUUUGUCAAUUAUUGUUUGUGUUGUCUAUCUGAACAGGGCUAUUAUAAAUGACUGGCAGUGCUUUCACAUAUUUUUCCAUAGAAUCUGUUUUACACAAAGAUCAAUAAAAACUUAAUAUCAAAUA